rnacentral:rRNA from 1 species
GAUGAACACUGGCGGCGUGCCUAAUACAUGCAAGUCGAGCGAAUGGAUUAAGAGCUUGCUCUUAUGAAGUUAGCGGCGGACGGGUGAGUAACACGUGGGUAACCUGCCCAUAAGACUGGGAUAACUCCGGGAAACCGGGGCUAAUACCGGAUAACAUUUUGAACUGCAUGGUUCAAAAUUGAAAGGCGGCUUCGGCUGUCACUUAUGGAUGGAUCCGCGUCGCAAUAGCUAGUUGGUGAGGUAACGGCUCACCAAGGCAACGAUGCGUAGCCGACCUGAGAGGGUGAUCGGCCACACUGGGACUGAGACACGGCCCAGACUCCUACGGGAGGCAGCAGUAGGGAAUCUUCCGCAAUGGACGAAAGUCUGACGGAGCAACGCCGCGUGAGUGAUGAAGGCUUUCGGGUCGUAAAACUCUGUUGUUAGGGAAGAACAAGUGCUAGUUGAAUAAGCUGGCACCUUGACGGUACCUAACCAGAAAGCCACGGCUAACUACGUGCCAGCAGCCGCCGUAA